UACGUAGGGUGCAAGCGUUGUCCGGAAUUAUUGGGCGUAAAGAGCUCGUAGGCGGUUUGUCGCGUCUGCUGUGAAAACUCGGGGCUUAACCCCGGGCCUGCAGUGGGUACGGGCAGACUAGAGUGCGGUAGGGGAGACUGGAAUUCCUGGUGUAGCGGUGAAAUGCGUAGAUAUCAGGAGGAAUACCGAUGGCGAAGGCAGGUCUCUGGGCUGACACUGACGCUCAUGCACGAAAGCGUGGGGAGCAAACAGG
rnacentral:rRNA from 1 species